rnacentral:tRNA from 1 species
UCCCUGAUGGCUUAGAUGGUAAAGAUUCUGCCUUCAAUGCAGGAGACCUGGGUUUGAUCCCUAGAUUGAGAA